UGGAGAGAUGGCCGAGCGGUCGAAGGCGCACGCCUGGAAAGUGUGUAUACGGCAACGUAUCGAGGGUUCGAAUCCCUCUCUCUCCGA
rnacentral:tRNA from 1 species